AGUUGCUAUCCAGGGGAGUAUUUGUCUUGAAAACAAAUUUUGAGUGUUCGAUUCACUCGGUAACUU
rnacentral:tRNA from 1 species